UAUUGCACAAUGGGGGAAACCCUGAUGCAGCGACGCCGCGUGAAGGAUGAAGUAUUUCGGUAUGUAAACUUCUAUCAGCAGGGAAGAAAAUGACGGUACCUGACUAAGAAGCCCCGGCUAACUACGUGCCAGCAGCCGCGGUAAUACGUAGGGGGAAAGCGUUAUCAGGAUUUACUGGGUGUAAAGGGAGCGUAGACGGCAAUGCAAGCCAGAUGUGAAAGCCCGGGGCUCAACCCCGGGACUGCAUUUGGAACUGUGUGGCUGGAGUGUCGGAGAGGCAAGGGGAAUUCCUAGUGUAGCGGUGAAAUGCGUAGAUAUUGGGAGGAACACCAGUGGCGAAGGCGGCUUGCUGGACGAUGACUGACGUUGAGGCUCGAAAGCGUGGGGAGCAAACAGG
rnacentral:rRNA from 1 species